CAACUAAUCUUUAGUCUAAAUUACAAUAUUUGUGGAUGUGGUUGUAGUUAUUUGCUGGCUAAUAACAAUAAGCUUUGAGUGAGACCUAUGGCAGCUAACGUUACAGUUUAGCUGCUAACCAGCAAAGUUGCACAUGAUUUUCCAUCCGGUUGGUUCCUGUGAUGCUUGAAGGACAGCAAUAUGUCCUGACCUACAGGUUCAGCCAGGACCACUUGGAGCUUUUCUUCAACUCCAUCAGAGCAUCUGGAUUUGUUGUGCGACAGGCUCUGAAGAAGCUGUCGUGUGAUGUCUGCGUGCCAGCCUGGUGACAGAUGCUGCAUCUGCCAUCAAGGACCAGAGCUACCACCUGCUGACUUUAAAAAACAAUGGAGGUCUGGUGAUUCCAUCAGAGGGAACCGUG
ensembl:lncRNA